CCAACCUGUCACGCCUCAGAUUACAAAGGAAGUUCGGAUUAUGUCAACUGACAGGCCGCAUAUACAAGUAUACACCUUAUAUAUACGAAGCGUCAGUAAAACCUAUCCAACAAAAUUAUCUAAAAUCUAACAACAUUACGUAUCAGAGGAAAAUAAAAAUUAUAUACUAUAACAACACUGUAAAUAUAUACGAUCAUCACCACACCAGUUUUCAAAAUGAUACAACAUUUUUUAUCACUCCAAAUCUCAAAACACUGUACAUGCUACUAUAUAUACUAAUAGCUGGUCCAACUACACGCACAAAAAGGAUAGGAAAUGCUAACUAUUCGCGAUCCCCUUAUCUCGAUCAGUUGCUAGUGCUGAAGACUGUGAAAUGAAAUAUUAAUAAAGAAAGUAUGAAAACUAUAACAAUAGUCUCAAGUGAGUAUGGUUGACAGCACCGAUGGUCUACACCACCAGGUCUAUAUGAGACAAAAAUAGUAAAAGACCGAUGAGUGUAAAUAAAUAAGUACUAAUAUGAAUAAUUGUUGAGAGUAACUAUUACUAUCACGUCUUUAUAAUAUAACUAAAAUCUGCAGUUCAUAUAUGUCAUGCAUCAAUUAGUUACUGAAUAAAACAUUACAAUACGACCCAAACAUAGUGACCGACUCAAUAGUCAGAUUUAACCUGUAUCGCCUCGUGUCCAGCAUCCACCUAUUGUAGCCUGCUACCACGCAGACUACUGUCUGGUUUAUGUCAUAAUAAUGUAUCAUAAUCCAACAUCUGGGGCGCUACCCCAACCAAGUAUAGUAUUAUUGUCAAACUCAGCAUAGCAUGCAGACUGUAAUCAAAUACGAUGAAUCAAACAGAUCAUGAUAAUACUGUUAUACUGUCCAAAAUAUAGUUAUAGUCUCACACUAUCUGUAGCUGUUUAAUGACCUUUAGGAAAAUAUCAUAUAUCAUAUAUAUACAUCAAUCAAAUACGAUGAAUCAAACAGAUCAUGAUAAUACUGUUAUACUGUCCAAAAUAUAGUUAUAGUCUCACACUAUCUGUAGCUGUUUAAUGACCUUUAGGAAAAUAUCAUAUAUCAUAUAUAUAUGUAUAUAUAUGUAUAUAUAGAGUUGAGCUAGAAUACUCUCGAUAGUAAACGGGGCGUUUUACUAUCGAGUUGUUUUCGAUGAUAGAGCUUCCAAAUUGACGAUCGGCUCCGUUAAAUAUGAUCUAAACCAUUUAAACUGCCUAGAAAUCAAAUUUCACGCACUUUCGAUAUUGUUCUUUUAUCCAUCUAGUGAACAAAAAAUGAAUGGUUGAAAAUGAAUAUUCUUUAAAAAAUGAUGAUAGGAGUCUUGUAAUCAAGAUCAAGAGUAUAGAUCUUGUUUUAAAUGGUUUAAAGAAUUUUCUAACAAAAAUUCAAUUGAUUUGGAUAUCUUUACACCGUUAAACGAGAAAACGUCUCUUAUCCACCAUUAAAAUUACAAAUUUUGAAACCCUUUGAUCAUUAGGCAAAUGAUGUCGAAAAGAUUUGAAAUUUGAUUUCUAAACACUUCAAGUGGUAUAG
rnacentral:lncRNA from 1 species